GUGCAUGUCAGACCACCGUCUCCCUCUUUAGCUGUAGGGAGUGACGGUGUCUAAGAAAACAUGCAAGAUUAACACUGCCUGGAGUUCACAGGGCCAUCGAUCUUACAGAGUUGAUCAAUUGGUAGUAUCAGACUCCUACAAAG
ensembl:snoRNA